rnacentral:rRNA from 1 species
GAUGAACGCUGGCGGCGUGCCUAACACAUGCAAGUCGAGCGGCAGCGCGCGGUGCUUGCACCCUGUCGGCGAGCGGCGGACGGCUGAGUAACGCGUGGGAACGUGCCCCAAAGUGAGGAAUAACUGCCCGAAAGGGUAGCUAAUACCGCAUAUUAUCUUCGGUUCAAAGGAUUUAUCCGCUUUGGGAGCGGCUCGCGUCGGAUUAGGUAGUUGGUGAGGUAAUGGCUCACCAAGCCGACGAUCCGUAGCUGGUCUGAGAGGAUGACCAGCCAGACUGGAACUGAGACACGGUCCAGACUCCGACGGGAGGCAGCAGUGAGGAAUCUUCCACAAUGGGCGAAAGCCUGAUGGAGCAACGCCGCGUGCAGGACGAAGGCCUUCGGGUUGUAAACUGCUUUUAUAAGUGAGGAAUAUGACGGUAACUUAUGAAUAAGGAUCGGCUAACUACGUG